rnacentral:rRNA from 1 species
GAUGAACGCUGGCGGCGUGCCUAAUACAUGCAAGUCGAGCGAACGGAUAAGGAGCUUGCUCCUUUGACGUUAGCGGCGGACGGGUGAGUAACACGUGGGUAACCUACCUAUAAGACUGGAAUAACUCCGGGAAACCGGGGCUAAUGCCGGAUAACAUUUAGAACCGCAUGGUUCUAAAGUGAAAGAUGGUUUUGCUAUCACUUAUAGAUGGACCCGCGCCGUAUUAGCUAGUUGGUAAGGUAACGGCUUACCAAGGCAACGAUACGUAGCCGACCUGAGAGGGGGAUGGGCCCCACAGGACGGGAACCAGGGGCAAGACACCGAGGGAAGGAGCAGGGAGGAAACCUACAGAAGGGGAGGAAAGCAGGACGGACCAACCCGGGGGGAGGGAAGAAGUUUUCGGAUCCGAAAACUUUUUUUAUUGGGGAAAAAAAAAUGUUAAAGUACUUGUCCCCGUUUGAAGGGAACUAAUUAAGAAGCCCCGGGUAACCCCGGU